CUGAAAUAUGAAUUCUUGGGUGGAAAGUUUUGAGUCUUGAUAGUCAACAAAGGUGCUACUGGGUUAAACAAGAAAAUUAAACCAACUGCAGACCUUAUCAACCAUGGAGUUAUUGCAAUUAGCGCUUCUCUUUUCAAUUAUCUGUUCUAUUGAAUCACACCCACAAUAACACGAAUGAUGUCAUGCAUUUAGACAAUCUCCAGCCUUUGAGAUUAUUAACCAGUGUAUACAAUCUAUUCCUUGUUACUUCCAAUGCGUUAAUGUUUGUAAAUAAAACCAAACCUAUCCCAUACCUCAUCAAGCCAUUAAUAGGCAUUUGAAUACUAUCUGUAGAACCAUUGUACAUAUUAGCAUUUAGAUUUUAUUUAUUUAUUAUUUUAUUACCUAAUAAGGAGAUUUAGUUGUUGAUUAAUUCUAAUUUUAGUUAAUCUCCUAAUUUAGUGGGAUUCCUGAUUUGAAGGAAUUUGCUUAUGAUUUAGUGAGCUGGAAUAUCGGCCACCUUAAUAAAUAUGUAUCCUUAUAUAGUUCAUUGGAAUAAGAUUGAAUGAGAAUAACUCUUUUUCUCUUAAAUUUACAUGGUAUCAGAGCCUUUUACGAUCCUCCUCUGAAAACUUAAUCUUGUGAAUUUCAUUCCCUAUUCUCAUUCCAAUCAAUACCCCACAAAUCUUCUAUCCUUCAAGCCUUCAUCUGCAAUUUUUUUUUUUUUCGAUUCCUCUGAACCAAAACAUGACAAAAAUAGGAGCAGCGUUGCAAACCUCCUCCUCUAAGAUCACGUCUAAAUCAGAUUCAACCCCGAUGACAGCCACCCAUGGUAACUCCGAAUCUGGAUUCAUUCUCAUUACCAGCCAUAAAUUAAAUGGACAGAACUACCACCAAUGGUCCCAAUUUGUGUUAAUGUUUAUUUCUGGGAAAGGUAAAGAUGAAUAUCUCACCGGUGAGAUUGAAAUUCCUAAGAAAUAAUAUCCAAAAUACAGGCUGUGGAAGAGUGACAACAACAUGAUUAUGUCAUGGCUAAUAAAUUCCAUGAACAAUGAUAUAGGUGAAAACUUUCUUCUUUAUGGCACAACGAAGGAAAUAUGGAAUGUAGCAAAGGAGACAUACUCAAGUUCUGAGAACACAACAGAACUAUUCCAAAUUGAGACUAUCUUGCACGAUUUCCGUCAAGAGAAUCUCUCUGUCACACAGUAUUUCAACACUCUAACAAGGCAUUGGCAGCAACUUGAUAUGUUUGAUACUCAUACAUGGAAGUGUUCAGAUGAUGCAGUCACUUACAGAAAAAUCGUGGAGCAAAAAAGGAUCUUCAAAUUCUUGUUAGGAAUUAGAUGAAGUAAGGAGAUAAAUUAUGGGGACUAAACCACUGCCCAGCAUUAGAAACAUGUUCUCUGAGGUUAGGCGUGAAGAAAGCAGGCGCAAGGUGAUGAUGGGAUCUCAAGAAUUUACAACUAAUCAGUCAUUGUUUGAUAGUUCUGCGCUUGCUGUCCGAGGAACCAACACUAGCUCCAAUGACAACUGCCAACAAUGAGGAAGGCCUUGGUGCGACCACUGCCACAAGUCUGGACACUGAAAGGAAAGUUGCUGGAAACUUCACGGGAAACUAGCUGAUUGGAAGCCAAACAAGCCUAACCGUUAUAAAGAAAGCCAUGCUAAUGUAGCUUCAUCAACGGAGGAGAAAACUUCAAGUGAAAUAAGUGGAUUCAACAAAGAACAAAGGAAAAUUCUGCAGAAAAUGAUCUGCCAUAGUCUUUCGCAAUCUACUAGCCAACUUCAAGCAACCAGUGUGAAGGCACAACGAAGUAGUUUUCAUGUUGCUCUUAAUACCAGUAGUGACCAAGGUGAAUCAUGGAUUGUAGACUCUGGCGCAUCCGACUAUAUGACAGAGGAUGCAACACUCUUGCACAAUUACUGUCCUCAAACGGGUAAUUCUUCUGUUCGUAUAGCAGAUGGUUCUCUCUCUAUGGUCUUGGGAAUAGGAUCUGCUCAUCUAACAGAAGAUAUAAUUCUCACUUAUGUUCUUUACGUUCAAAAUAUGGACUGUAAUUUACUUUCAGUUAGAAAAUUUAGCCAAGAUCUUAAUUGUGUUGCUAAAUUUUUCCCAUGCUUGUGUGAAUUUUAGGGAAUGGAAUCGGGGAAGACGAUUGGCAAUGCUAAGUUGGUGUCAGAUCUCUACCUAUUUAGAGCCAAUAAUCCUCCAAGUAGACAAACUGGUUAUUGAAGUUGCAACAUGUCCACUAGUGUAUCAAAGAGCUGUCGUCACUUCAUUCUUCUAUUUUCAAUUCUAGUGUCAAUAAUGUGGAUGAAAUCAUGCUGUGGCACUUUCGCCUCGGCCAUCCCAACUUUGUGUAUCUAGGAAAAAUAUUUCCUAAACUAUUCAUCAAUAAAAAACUAAAUUCAUUUCAUUGUGAAAUAUGUUAAUUUGUUAAACAUAUACGUGCAAAUUUUCCUUCAAUUCCUUACUUACCUCCCCGUCCAUUCACCAUGAUUCAUAGUGAUGUAUGGGGUGCAUCAAGAAUUAAAAGCCUCACAGGGGCUCGCUGGUUUGUGUCUUUUGUGGAUGAUCACACUCGUCUGACUUGGAUAUUUCUCAUGAAAGAAAAAUCUGAAGUUAACCAUAUCUUCCAAAAAUUUCAUAUAAUGGUCCAAAAUCAGUUCAAUGCUCAAAUCCAAGUCUUUAAAACCGACAAUGCUAGAGAAUACUUCAAGUCCCAUCUUGAGUCAUAUCUUUCACAUCAUGGCAUAAUACAUACCAGCUCAUGUGUAAAUACCCCUCAACAGAACGGAGUGGCUGAAAGAAAAAAUCGCCACAUUCUUGAGGUAGCUCGGGCACUCUUAUUUACAUCCAAUAUGCCGAAGUAUUUUUGGGGUGAGGCAGUCCUUACUGCAGCUUACCUAAUCAAUCGGAUGCCCUCUAGGGUUCAUAAAUUUCAAAGUCCUCAUCAAGUUCUCCUCAAAAUCUAUCCUCACACCAAAUUUAUCUCCUCAGAUGUUCCUAUAAGAGUUUUUGGGUGCUCAGCCUUUGUUCAUAAUCACUACACAGAUAGAUCCAAAUUAGAUCCUAAAUCCAUCAAAUGUGUCUUCCUAGGUUAUUCAUCAAAUCAAAAGGGUUACAGAUGUUACUCUCUCAUUAACCAAAAAGUCUACAAUUCAAUGGAUGUCACUUUCUUUGAACAUGAACCUUAUUACCCAAAAUCUGACAUUCAGGGGGAGAAUGUAAGGGAAUCUCAAUUUUGGGAUGAACUUCUCAUCAAAGAAUCCUCUGAAAUUCAGCAUGCAUCUCCACCUCUUGUCCUUCUUCCCUCGGAUUCAAACUACACACCAAACCCCAACCUUGAAAUUCCAUCGUCUAACAGUCCAUCAUCCUCAAAACAUAGGUCUACACAACUUGAAUCUUCCCAGCUCCAUGUCUAUACUAGGAGGAAAAAUGAAAACAAAGAGAGUGAGAACCUUGCACUUCUCAUGCAAUGCCAUGACUCCAACCUGAAUUCUAAUCCUGCUCAAGUUCACUUAAGUGAGGCCGAUCAUUCUCCUGAGUUAAUUGUGCCGGUGAUUGAUGAUGCUGAGUGUAAGAUCCUGUACCAGUCAUCCGAUUAGAAAAUGUACCAUUCAUCCGAUUGGAAAUUUUGUUAGCUAUAACUCUCUUUCUCUAGUAUACAGGACAUUCAUUACUUCCCUUGACAGUGUACAAAUUCCGAGAACUAUUCAUGAGACUCUUAAACAUCCAGGAUGGCAGAAAGCUGUACAGGAUGAGGUCACUGCACUUGAAAAGAAUAGAACAUGGGUAAUCACAGAUCUACCAGCUGGAAAAAUACCAGUAGGUUGCAAAUGGAUAUUUGCCAUCAAACACAAAGCAGAUGGAAGCAUUGAAAGACUCAAAGCUCGGUUAGUUGCUAAGGGAUUUACACAAUCUUAUGGUAUUGACUAUCAAGAAACUUUUGCUCCAAUUGCCAAACUUAAUACCAUCUGAGUACUCAUUUCACUUGCUGCUAAUUUUGAUUAGUCAUUACAUCAACUAGACAUUAAGAAUGCUUUUCUAAAUGGCGAACUUGAAGAAGAAGUCUAUAUGGAAGUGCCACCUGGGAUAGAAAGUUCUCAUACUAAAGGCAAGGUAUGUAAACUGGUAAAGUCUCUCUAUGGAUUUGUGACCAAAUGUGGGUAUAAAUAGUGCCAAUCAUAUCAUACAUUGUUUGUUAAGUUCUCAACAGAGAAGAAAAUUGCAGUUUUGAUCGUCUAUGUUGAUGAUAUCAUUCUUACUGGUGAUUUUGAGGAAGAAUUACAGGUUUUGAAACAACGUUUAGCUCAGGAAUUUGAUAUUAAAGACCUCGGUAGUUUAAAGUACUUCCUUGGCAUGGAGAUAGCAAGGUCAAGAGAAGGCAUUGCAGUGACCCAACGGAAAUAUGUAUUGGAUUUGUUGAUGGAAACAGGGAUGCUCGGCUGUAAACCAGCAGAUACACCCAUGGACUCAAGCAAAAAGUUUGGCACAGAAUCAGAGAGUGUUCCUGUGGACAGGGGGAGAUACCAGAGACUUGUUGGACGGCUAAUCUAUCUCUCUCAUACACGCCCAGACAUUGGAUUUGCUGUCAGUUUAGUGAGUCAAUUCAUGAACAAUCCAAGGGAAGAGCAUAUGGAGGCCGUGUAUAGGAUCCUAAGGUACCUUAAGUUGACACCUGGGAAGGGAUUAAUGUUCAGAAAAAACAACAAACGGGAGAUUGAUAUAUACACUUAUGCAGACCACGCAUGGAACAUAAUGGACAGGUGCUCUACUUCUGGCUAUUGUUCAUAUGUUUGGGGAAAUCUUGUUACAUGGAGAAGUAAGAAACAGUCGGUUGUCUCUCGGAGCAGUGCAGAAUCUGAGUUCAGAUCAUUGGCAAUGGGUAUUUGUGAAGGUAUUUGGAUUCAUCGAUUACUUAGAGAGCGGGAAAUUAUAGAUAAGCAACCUAUCAUGCUAUUCUAUGAUAACCAGGCAGCAAUCAGCAUUGCUAAAAACCCAGUGCACCAUGAUAGGAUGAAACAUGUUGAGAUUGAUCGCCACUUCAUCCUAGAGAAGAUCGAAAAUAGCACAGUCCAUAUUGUCUACAUUCCUACUCAACAUCAAACUGCAGACAUCCUUACUAAAGCCUUAGUUGUUGACUAAUUUUAAUUUUAGUUAGUCUCCUAAUUUAGUGGGAUUCCUGAUUUGAAAGAAUUUGCUUUUGAUUUAGUGAGCUGGAAUACCGGCCACCUUAAUAUAUAUGUAUCUUCAUGUAGUUCAUUGGAAUAAGACUGAAUGAAAAUAACUCUUUUUCUCUGAAAUUUACACUAUCAUUUUGUAGAACAUGGAGUAUUAACAUUUACUUUACUUCCUUACUCUCCAAUAAGUUGCAACUCUCAAUUCUAUGAAAGAGUACACAUUUGCAUCAAUUCCUUGGAUUGUCUUGCAUCAGCCGAUUCUAGACAUCCUCCAAAAGCUCUAAUUUUUAAGUGCACUUGCAAUUGUUUUAAUUGCAAGUGGUAAACCAGCAUAUUUUCCAACUACAGUAACUGUAGC
rnacentral:lncRNA from 1 species